rnacentral:rRNA from 1 species
CGGGUGAGUAACGCGUAGGUAACCUGCCUCUUAGCGGGGGACAACUAUUGGAAACGAUAGCUAAUACCGCAUAAAAGUCGACAUCGCAUGAUGUUGACUUGAAAGGUGCAAUUGCAUCACUAAGAGAUGGACCUGCGUUGUAUUAGCUAGUUGGUGAGGUAACGGCUCACCAAGGCGACGAUACAUAGCCGACCUGAGAGGGUGAUCGGCCACACUGGGACUGAGACACGGCCCAGACUCCUACGGGAGGCAGCAGUAGGGAAUCUUCGGCAAUGGGGGCAACCCUGACCGAGCAACGCCGCGUGAGUGAAGAAGGUUUUCGGAUCGUAAAGCUCUGUUGUAAGAGAAGAACGAGUGUGAGAGUGGAAAGUUCACACUGUGACGGUAACUUACCAGAGAGGGACGGCUAACUACGUGCCAGCAGCCGCGGUAAUACGUAGGUCCCGAGCGUUAUCCGGAUUUAUUGGGCGUAAAGCGAGCGCAGGCGGUUAGAUAAGUCUGAAGUUAAAGGCUGUGGCUUAACCAUAGUACGCUUUGGAAACUGUUUAACUUGAGUGCAGAAGGGGAGAGUGGAAUUCCAUGUGUAGCGGUGAAAUGCGUAGAUAUAUGGAGGAACACCGGUGGCGAAAG